rnacentral:rRNA from 1 species
UACAGAGGGUGCAAGCGUUAAUCGGAAUCACUGGGCUUAAAGCGUGUGUAGGUGGAAGCGUAAGUACCUCGUGAAAUCCCACGGCUUAACCGUGGAACUGCUUGGUAUACUGCGUUUCUUGAGCCAACUAGGGGCUAUCGGAACAAGUGGUGGAGCGGUGAAAUGCGUAGAUAUCACUUGGAACGCCAAUGGUGAAAACAGAUAGCUGGGGUUGUGCUGACACUGAGACACGAAAGCCAGGGGAGCAAACGGG